rnacentral:misc_RNA from 1 species
GAGAGACCGGAGGGGGGAGGGACCAAAUAUUCCACAGUUUUUUCCUCUUUUAAACUCUUGACUAAUAUUCAUCCCACUCAAAUUUAUUGGCUUCAUUAACUAGAUAGAUGGUUAUCUAUCUGACUUAUCCCAGUCAAAAUCAGAAAUGGUUUAUGAUAGCACCUUAUACAAACACCCUCUCAUACCGUUUAAAUCAAGGUUGUGUUUAAAAAGUAAAGCAUUGAUAGAGAUAAUCUUUGCACUCUUAGCAAUCCCUACUCAAUCCCACCAAUGAAGUACCGCCAGGAUUUCUUACCCUUAAUGCCUUGACUCAUAUUUAAAUUUUUAUGCCAUCAAGGAACAGAAGAUAUUUCUACUACUUAUCAUUCAUCUUCAUCUAUCAAAUUGCCCAUUCCUUAAUUUUUCAGCUCAUGUUCUAAUCAAAUCUGUUAAUAGAGUUCUCUUCCUCGCUGCCUUUCUUUUCUCCUAUCUUCAUGAAAUACCACCAAAAAGAUGGAAUUUAUGUGAAUUGACUAUAAGCAUGUAUUAAAUGCUACUACUGUGUUUAGCAAACCAUAAUACUACAUUAACUAAUCCUAGAACUGAUGAAACACAAAAACAUCUUAUGGAUUCCACCCCCCAUCCCCCAAUCCUCUUUUUCUAUAUCCUUCAUUCAACUAACUUAAUGCUCCAGCAAACAUGAGACCCAGCUUAUAAAGCAAAAUUGCUCAUUAAAAAUGAGCAAGUAAGUUGAAAAAACCCAAUUUUAAUGCAGUUCAACCAAAAGAGGAUUGCCCACACAACAGAAAACUUGAUUUUUUUGUAUAAUUUCAUACCUAUAAAAUGUGAGUAGUGAUUCUUUCAAAGGGAAUGAAAAUCAACGAAGAGAGAACAAAAGAAAAUAUAAUGAUGAGGAAUAGAUUAAAAAAAUAAUGCAAGGCAAAGUUUGUAAUUUACCUCCUUCUGUGACUGAUGGUAUAC